ensembl:lncRNA
AUGGCAUCACUGCUGUUUGAAGCACACAGGCAGGAUGGCACACCGUCCCAGACGCCAUACGAGAGCUUCUUGGAGAGCAAACGGACGGCCCACCCGAACCCCGCCUGGUACAAGCUUGCAAGGAGGAGUCAAGGUCAGCAUUCUGAAGGCAUGAGAGGACAGAGGCUUGAGCCUGUAAUCCUUCCUUAUGGGAGUAACCCUUUCUCAUGCAGGGCUCCCACAGACGUCCUGCACCAGGGCUGAUGGAGGAGGAAGCAUUACUCAAGUUAAAUGAUACGGAGAAAGUAAAAGUCCCAGCAGGUCCAUAGCAGGGCGGGUUGCCGGACUCGGCCCUUUCAAUGCAGGGGGGAUGCGCUUUAACCCCUGUGGCUGCUGAAAGUCUCCGCUUACAGCUAGCUACUCUUUGGGAGCAAUAGAAAGCAGGGGUUAAGUCAGAGCAGCCCUGAGGAUACUGUAAUAUGCGAUGGGAGCUGGGCAGGCCCCUGUAUGGCCCCAGGUAUAUGCUGCCCAAAGGUGCCUUCAAGCCAUCUGAACCCCCCCACACACACACACACACAUACACACCCCUUUACUCUGUGCACUGGAGUGGAGUAACUGAGAAUCAGGCCCAUCAUGUCUCCCACGCCUUAUCUCUGUCCCAGCCAAGCUCUUAACCUCUCUCCCGACUCAGGCCCCCAGCUCCUCACUCAUUAUUGUCUGAAACCCCACCUCCAGCCUGUCUCUAUCAUCCUGAACGGAAUACAGGUACAUCCUACCAGCCAACAGGAGGCUCCUGUGUCUGCCUCUCUCCACAGCGGCCAAGGUGGGAUUUAAAUCCAUGUGUUCUCUUGGCCUGGGGUGGGAGAGCGGGCAGCAUGACAUUCACAGCUAAAUGGGAGGAAGGCAGAGGAACAAAAACUGCUCUUCCAGCAUAUUGUGGGUGGGUGGGGGGAGGCAGCUCCCAUGGUGAGUUCUGCCUUCCGGAGAUAGGAAGCAGACAAGGGCUGGGCUGCACUCAGCAACGUCCUCCUCUGCGCCGGAUGGAGGGAGGCACUUGAUGGCCGACAGCUUUGUUUCCGGUUUAGAAAGGAGGCAAAGCUUUGCAUGAUCCAGUUCUGCAGCUCACAUCCAAACCCAGGGACAAGAUGCUGGAAAGGCCACGUUUAGCCCCGAGAAGGAGGAUUAAAUAGGGGUCCCACAGCAUGCCACGAUUUGAUGGGGCCAUUGGUCCCAACUCCUUCCUCCCCUUGAAACCUCUCACUGACUUCAGUGGCAGCAGGAGGGGGAUGGAUGUGUACAAAUGCAUGAGCCAAGAAGUGUUGUUAGUGUGUCAGAUGGUUUGAUUCAGAAAGCACGUCACGCUUCAAUCCACUAACCGCGAGCACCUUUAGCAAGGGAGUGUUUAGCAUGUCAAGAGCACCUUCAUACGGACAGAUCUCAAAGCAUUUUGCAAAUAAUAGACGAUAAAAUGGCUGACCCUCAUCUGACAGACAAGGAAGACGAUGCACAGAAAGGUUGGAACUCACCCAAGGAAUAGGAACCGCGCUUUCCUGACUCCGGCUCCCCUGCUCUGACCACUAGACCACACAUUCUCCUUCGGGUGCUUGGCAAAAAAGGAGGCCAUCCAGCCUGAUGGUGACAGGAAGCAGAAGAGCCUUGUCUUGAAAUGCAGAAAUCCUGCUCCCAUUAUCUCUCCCAGUUCAUAUUUGCCAACUGAAAACCUGCAAGGAACAGCUUUGAAACAAAGGGAAAUAAAUCACCAUCAGGAGUGCUUGAUGGAUUAACU